GUGUCAGCCGCCGCGGUAAGACGAACCGAGCGAACGUUGUUCGGAAUCACUGGGCUUAAAGGGCGCGUAGGCGGCCUGGUCAGUCAGGGGUGAAAUCUUUCGGCUUAACCGGAAAAGUGCCUUUGAUACUACCAGGCUUGAGGGAGAUAGGGGCGUGUGGAACUUCCAGUGGAGCGGUGAAAUGCGUUGAUAUUGGAAGGAACGCCGGUGGCGAAAGCGACACGCUGGGUCUCUUCUGACGCUGAGGCGCGAAAGCUAGGGGAGCGAACGGGAUUAGAAACCCUGGUAGUCC
rnacentral:rRNA from 1 species